rnacentral:rRNA from 1 species
UACGGAGGGUGCAAGCGUUAUCCGGAUUCACUGGGUUUAAAGGGUGCGUAGGCGGGCAGGUAAGUCCGUGGUGAAAUCUCUGAGCUUAACUCAGAAACUGCCAUGGAUACUAUUUGUCUUGAAUAUUGUGGAGGUAAGCGGAAUAUGUCAUGUAGCGGUGAAAUGCUUAGAUAUGACAUAGAACACCAAUUGCGAAGGCAGCUUACUACUCAGUUAUUGACGCUGAGGCACGAAAGCGUGGGGAUCAAACAGG